UAUAAGUCGCCGGAAGUGUUAUUUUUUGUUAUUACGUUUGCAAUGUAUAAUGUUUCAGUGCUAUGCAAUUUGCUAUUAUAUCUAAACCAUGUUGAAACUAAGUUUACAGACAAAUGUAAUACUCUUCCGGGAGGAUUUUGGUCUGGCGUUAAUGUUUAGAUAAAUAAACCACACGUUGUGAACAAAUGUCUUUGUGGACGUCAUGGAUGUGAUACGUCAGAGUCCAAGGAUGUUCUUUCUUUAGUGAAUAGUUGUAUUGAACUUGAAUAUGACAAGCAGAGACUGGUAUUUUUCUGUGAGGACAUUCAUUCCUAAAGUAAACUUAUGGAACAACAGUACAUAAAGACAUACUCAAAAACUUUGAAUCUCAAAGAGUAAAGUAAGCUUCAUACCAGUUGAGGAGAGUGCGGAAGGUACUGCGUUUCGAAGGAAGAACAUCUAUCAGAUACACCUUCUGCCUGAGAACAAUGAUGAAUGGUCCUAUGGGGCGAGGAGCUAGCAGAGAAGGGUCUGACGGUCAAACAGUCCUUUGUGGAUCUUGGUUAUGGAAAUGGUCUAUCACCCUGGAAAGGGCAUCGAUGUGAGGAAACAGAAGAUCUGGAAUAUGUACGGCCCAUGAACCUAUCUAGAGGAAAUGGCAAUCACUCCCAGUGAUGGCUUCUUAUUCCUGGACACAGACUGGCUGAUUGGAAACUACUCGGAGGAGCUCUUGCCGUGGAUCCCCGUUAUAGCAGCCAGGCAAGUCAUCAGCAGACACAAUUUGGCUUAGCCGCAUCAAGUGGCAGCUGAUCUAUUGAAUUUGAAAUCAUGUUACUUUCAUGAGUUGGGUUGGUUUGGGGAGAGGGGGAUUGGAGGUGUGUUGAUGUGUGAAGGGACUUGUUUGAUGCGGUGGCCAUCUGAUGGCGAUGUUGAGCUUGGCUCUUGAAGUUAGUCUCUGAAAGCUCCCAACAGUACUUAACGAUGCCUCAUAGCUCCAUAGGCUUUAAAUUGUCCUCAUUUUUCUUACAUCCAACUUUGAGUAAGUUGUGCCUAAUUCAGUUGUUCCUACAGUAUGUUCUCACCUCUAUGAUGUCUGCUACCUCUGCUUGGCCAGGGUUCUCUAAGACUAAACCAGGGAAAUAAAGAAUAGUUUUGAUGUCAUUUCUGUCACUUUCCUCACCUUAGGUCAUCCUUCUCCGGCCGGUACAUUGUUCUGCCGUUUCUUUGACUUCUAUGGGAAGUACCAGCGGAGACAGUUUCAGAAGUCCCAGUAUAAGGAAUACAUUGACUUCAUCUCUGAGAUCAGCACAGCCUGUGGCUUCAACACAGAGGAGGACUGCCUGAGAAUCCCCUCCACAAAGCGGAUAUCCUAAUGGAGCGGCAGGUGUGUCUGGUAGACUUGGUGCUACCAGUCAAGGAGCUACCAGCUGUCAGACGAGUGGAGAGCCAAGUAUAUACAGGGUCGUCAGACCUGGUCCGGGGUCACAGUACAAGGGUCAAACGUCGAGGGGGAAGCUGAGACUGACAGGUCCCAUGGGAACAACUGGGGAGCUGGGUUCCAGCCCCGAGAGAGGAUUGAGACUGUGGAAUUGCGCCGCCCUCCCCCGGGAUUUUGUAGAUGCCCCAGCCCCAGUAUAGUCUUACGUGUGGCCAACACUCUGCUUGGUCGACCGACAAGGGCGGGGAUGUCCCUGAUGCCUGGAGCACUGGAGGCAGUCUGUCAGGGAGAGAGGUGUUGGAGUAGGAAACUCUACAGGUCUUAAAGAAGGAGUGUGGAGGUCUGUACACCUGCUCAAGAACAACCACCAGGUCUUCAGCGUAAAGGCGGUAUGUUCCAUAUCCGGAACUGGCGGGUACAGACCCAGAAUGCUGAAAGGUACCAGGGCUGAUGCUAAACUGAAGCCCCUACUCUCUGGUGUCCUGAAAAUCCGGGCCUGCUGGUUCCAUGCCCCUCACCCCAACGGAUGCCCCCUGCCGGCCGAGGAGUGUGACUUUGCCCGUUGAGCCGACGACCAUCAACCUUCCACCAGACUACUCAAGAAAAUGAAGAACUCAAAUUAAACGCACGAUUCAGUUUAGACCGUUGCUUUAUUUUUAUUUGACUUGUUUUUAUGAUAUGACAGCUUGUUACACAAAAGAUAUGACAGCUUGUUACACAAAAGAAAAGGGGCUAGGCUUGAGUGAAAGAGCGGGAAGACUGAGGAAC